UUUUUUAUAAGUAAAAUCUGCUCAUUGUAAUCAUAAAAAGCCGCAGAAUAUUAACUGUGCUAAGGUAGCAUAAUCAUUUACCUUUUAAUUAAAGGUUUGUAUGAAAGAUUUAACAUUUAAAUUACUUUUUUAUCCAAUUAUAUUAAAUUUAAAUUAAACAUAAAAAUGUGUUUAUAAAUAAAAAAGACGAUAAGACCCUAAUGAACUUUACUUAAGUUUAGCUGGGGAAGCUAGUUAAAAAUAAUUUUAACUUUAUAAAUUUAAGAAAUUUCUAAUAAAAUUAAUUUAAUAAGUUACCAUAGGGAUAACAGCGUAAUAUAAUUUUAAAGCUCAUAUUGAAAAUUAAGCUUACGACCUCGAUGUUGAAUUAGAAACUCUUUAAAACGCAAUAGUAUAAAAGUGGGUCUGU
rnacentral:rRNA from 1 species